CUGAAAGGGCCCAGAGCAGCAGCGAGAGCACACGCGGGGGAAGGUCCAGGCACGUGCCACGCACAGCCCCACCAGGGAGCGCUGCGAGGCUGGGCACGAUAAAGGCAGACGGGCCCUGUGUGCGGGCGCGGUGUGGGGCUGCUCUGCUUAAGCGUCUUUUUAGAUCAUCUUGUCCCUGGGCUAGAACAAGGCUGAUAAGGCUGAGACACGACCACAAAGAACUAGGUAAUGGUCACGGAAACGUUCACUGUAGUUAGGCCAGUGGAGAGAUUAUAAUGGUCAUGCAAAUGUAUGAGUGAAAGCUGAAAAUCCUCACCUCCCCUUGUAAGCUGGCAACCUGCCUCAUUGUAAUGAAGAGUUUCAGAACCCCUCACAGAUACUAGCCACAGCCUGGCAACCCCUAGAGGGCCGCCACGUUAGACAGGACAAAGGCUGAGACGGCAGACGGGCAGAAUGUGGCCACCGUCGCAUGGCAUCGCUGAGACGCACGGCAGCAGAAGGGGGAGACUAGAGUACUGCAGCGAAUCAGCCUUCAAGGCUUGCGGGACAUCCUAAACCACUCGGCGUCUGUGAGAGGUCACGCCCCAGGAUGCGUUCGACCGCAUAACCCUUCACGAUCACGUACAACACCAGGGAUGGCCCAGCCCCCAGAGGCCUCUGAGUCAGGGGGGCUGCACCGUCUCAAGGAGCCCCAGGGCUCUAUGAAGGUGCUCCAAAGUUUUUGCAGUUGAGGUGAAGUUCAUUUAGUGGGAUUAUUUAUUAAUACAAUAACACUCACACACAUUACUGAUGCCAUUUAGCUCUAAAACACGCGUAAAACAGCAUAUCUGCACGUUCACUCCUCCCCUACUUAUCCGCAGCGUGUUCUGCACUCUGGAAUUCACCCAGCUCCCUGGGAAGGUCCGCCCACCUCUCACGGACAGAGCCGCCGCCAAGGACGUGGGUUGUCCCCGAGGCAGAUGUCAGGUCUCACCUAUCAGGGCCAGUCAGAUAUGGUGCGUGUUCAACAAGUGACACUCAGAGGGAGUGACCACAACGGCCACCUGAACCACCAGUGCAUGC